GUAUCUUGAGAUACAUUCAAGUCAUCCAGCUAUUAAAAGGUAAAAUAAAUUACUGGGAACAGUAGCCAGGUUCGCACUUCUGAGAUUCCUGAGAUAUUUUGAAGGAAAAUGCUUUGGGUUGCUGGUUAUGUGCAUACAAAAUGUUGCCUUGGCCCACAAUUGCUUAGCUGGCAACUUAGCUACAACUACCUCCAGUGUACGUAAUGAUGCACUAAUUCUCACUUGGACACCAAUCCCCCCCAUGUCACGUGGCCAAACAAGCUUCUGGGGUGCACAUAACCGGCUCCCAUAGCAUUACUCAAGAAACAACAGCGACAUAUUCUACCAAUAUUACAAAAAGGAAUCAGACUUUAGCUCAGUCUUCUUAUCCUCAUUACCAAUCUCAUUAUAAUAAUAGCCUAUAUUGUGUAGUAUGGGAAAAAAACUUAUGGAGCCAAUAAAGUAUAGAUCCAAUUUUGAAACUAGGGCUGAAUGCGGGUCGGAUUAUAUCCUACCGUAUCCAUUUCUGUAUCCGAUAUGGAUUGGAUUCGGAUACUGUUUUUUUGGUUCGACUGGAUCUGAAUACGGAUUCGGAUAGUCAAUUCAAAAAAUCUUCCAGAUACGGAUACGGAUGUGGAUACACCUGUUUUUUUAUAUUCAAAUUCGGAUCCGGAUAUCCGUAUAACAAGGGUAAGCGAAAAGAAGAAGUUUAAAUUAAGUUAAAUCAAAGAACCAAUUAAGUGAUUAACCAAAUCUAAACUAAAAGAAACCCAGAUAUCGGAUGACCGUUACUUGAGACAGUAACCAGAAUACGAAAUACUUGAUUCGAAUAAAAUUCUUCGAAUCACCCUGCACGUCUAAAAGGCCCAAACUCUCGUUCGUCCGUUUCGUCCCUCUCUCUUCUUCGUUGCCUUCAAGCAGCUAGGGUUUCGAAGAUUCCAUCAAUUUUCUAGUUUUCAUCUGGUGAUUGCAACCUGUGAUGUCUUGGAGGUGCCAUAGAUUCCGUCUACUUCGGUGACGAGCGGUGUAUCCUUUAUGAAAUUAUUAGUUUUUAUUAUUGACAAACACUUGUUAAAAUUAUAUUUUUUUAAUUGAAUUUUUUCUUUAUG
rnacentral:lncRNA from 1 species